ACGUUGAUAGGUCGGGUGUGUAAGCGUAGCGAUACGUUGAGCUAACCGAUACUAAUGAACCGUGAGGCUUAACCUUACAACGCCGAAGGUGUUU
rnacentral:rRNA from 1 species